UGAUAGUACCUUACUACUUGGAUAACCGUGGUAAUUCUAGAGCUAAUACAUGCUUAAAACCCCGACUCACGGAGGGGUGUAUUUAUUAGAUUAAAAACCAAUGCCCUUCGGGGCUUUUUGGUGAUUCAUAAUAACUUCUCGAAUCGCAUGGCCUUGUGCCGGCGAUGGUUCAUUCAAAUUUCUGCCCUAUCAACUUUCGAUGGCAGGGUCUUGGCCUGCCAUGGUUACAACGGGUAACGGAGGGUUAGGGCUCGACCCCGGAGAAGGAGCCUGAGAAACGGCUACUACAUCCAAGGAAGGCAGCAGGCGCGCAAAUUACCCAAUCCCGAUACGGGGAGGUAGUGACAAUAAAUACUGAUACAGGGCUCUUUUGGGUCUUGUAAUUGGAAUGAGUACAAUUUAAAUCCCUUAACGAGGAACAAUUGGAGGGCAAGUCUGGUGCCAGCAGCCGCGGUAAUUCCAGCUCCAAUAGCGUAUAUUAAAGUUGUUGCAGUUAAAAAGCUCGUAGUUGAACCUUGGGCCUGGCUGGCCGGUCCGCCUCACCGCGUGCACUGGUUCGGCCGGGCCUUUCCCUCUGGGGAAUCCCAUGCCCUUCACUGGGUGUGGCGAGGAACCAGGACUUUUACUGUGAAAAAAUUAGAGUGUUCAAAGCAGGCCUAUGCUCGAAUACAUUAGCAUGGAAUAAUAGAAUAGGACGUGUGGUUCUAUUUUGUUGGUUUCUAGGACCGCCGUAAUGAUUAAUAGGGACAGUCGGGGGCAUCAGUAUUCAAUUGUCAGAGGUGAAAUUCUUGGAUUUAUUGAAGACUAACUACUGCGAAAGCAUUUGCCAAGGAUGUUUUCAUUAAUCAGGAACGAAAGUUAGGGGAUCGAAGACGAUCAGAUACCGUCGUAGUCUUAACCAUAAACUAUGCCGACUAGGGAUCGGACGAUGUUAUUUUUUGACUCGUUCGGCACCUUACGAGAAAUCAAAGUUUUUGGGUCCGGGGGGAGUAAUGGCCA
rnacentral:rRNA from 1 species